UGGGGAAUAUUGGACAAUGGAGGAAACUCUGAUCCAGCAAUUCUGUGUGUGUGAAGAAGGUUUUAGGACUGUAAAACACUUUUAGUAGGGAAGAAAAAAAUGACGGUACCUACAGAAGAAGCAACGGCUAAAUACGUGCCAGCAGCCGCGGUAAUACGUAUGUUGCGAGCGUUAUCCGGAAUUAUUGGGCUUAAAGGGCAUCUAGGCGGUAAGACAAGUUGAAGGUGAAAACCUGUGGCUCAACCAUAGGCUUGCCUACAAAACUGUUGAACUAGAGUACUGGAAAGGUGGGUGGAACUACACGAGUAGAGGUGAAAUUCGUAGAUAUGUGUAGGAAUGCCGAUGAUGAAGACAACUCACUGGACAGAAACUGACGCUGAAGUGCGAAAGCUAGGGGAGCAAACAGG
rnacentral:rRNA from 1 species